AGAGUUUGAUCAUGGCUCAGAACGAACGCUGGCGGCGUGCCUAACACAUGCAAGUCGAGCGGGAAAGUUCCCUUCGGGGAGCGAGUACAGCGGCGAACGGGUGAGUACAACGUAGGUAACCUACCCCCGAGACUGGGAUAACCUGUCGAAAGACGGGCUAAUACCGGAUAAGACCACGAGGGCUGAGGCCCUUGGGGUAAAAGAUGGCCUCUAUUUAUAAGCUAUCACUCGAGGAGGGGCCUGCGCGCCAUUAGCUAGUUGGUGGGGUAAAGGCUCACCAAGGCGAAGAUGGCUAACUGGUCUGAGAGGAUGGCCAGUCACACUGGGACUGAGACACGGCCCAGACUCCUACGGGAGGCAGCAGUGGGGAAUAUUGCGCAAUGGGCGAAAGCCUGACGCAGCGACGCCGCGUGGGUGAUGAAGGCCUUCGGGUCGUAAAGCCCUGUCGGGAGGGAAGAAAUCUCAUCGGCCUAAUAUGCCGAUGACUUGACGGUACCUCUUAAGGAAGCACCGGCUAACUCCGUGCCAGCAGCCGCGGUAAUACGGAGGGUGCAAGCGUUGUUCGGAAUCACUGGGCGUAAAGCGCGUGUAGGCGGCUAUUUAAGUCUGAUGUGAAAGCCCUGGGCUUAACCCAGGAAGUGCAUUGGAUACUGGGUAGCUCGAGUACCGGAGAGGAGGGUGGAAUUCCUGGUGUAGCGGUGAAAUGCGUAGAUAUCAGGAGGAACACCGGUGGCGAAGGCGUCCCUCUGGCCGGAUACUGACGCUGAGACGCGAAAGCGUGGGGAGCAAACAGGAUUAGAUACCCUAGUAGUCC
rnacentral:rRNA from 1 species